rnacentral:rRNA from 1 species
GAACGGUAGCACAGAGGAGCUUGCUCCUUGGGUGACGAGUGGCGGACGGGUGAGUAAUGUCUGGGAAACUGCCCGAUGGAGGGGGAUAACUACUGGAAACGGUAGCUAAUACCGCAUAACGUCUUCGGACCAAAGUGGGGGACCUUCGGGCCUCACACCAUCGGAUGUGCCCAGAUGGGAUUAGCUAGUAGGUGGGGUAAUGGCUCACCUAGGCGACGAUCCCUAGCUGGUCUGAGAGGAUGACCAGCCACACUGGAACUGAGACACGGUCCAGACUCCUACGGGAGGCAGCAGUGGGGAGUAUUGCACAAUGGGCGCAAGCCUGAUGCAGCCAUGCCGCGUGUAUGAAGAAGGCCUUCGGGUUGUAAAGUACUUUCAGUGGGGAGGAAGGCGUUAAGGUUAAUAGCCUUGACGAUUGACGUUACCCGCAGAAGAAGCACCGGCUAACUCCGUG